UCCAAUAUUGCUCGUGCUGCUGA
rnacentral:miRNA from 2 species